GACGAACGCUGGCGGCGCGCCUAACACAUGCAAGUCGAACGAGCGAGCGAGAGCUUGCUUUCUCGAGCGAGUGGCGAACGGGUGAGUAACGCGUGAGGAACCUGCCUCAAAGAGGGGGACAACAGUUGGAAACGACUGCUAAUACCGCAUAAGCCCACGACCCGCCAUCGGGUAGAGGGAAAAGGAGCAAUCCGCUUUGAGAUGGCCUCGCGUCCGAUUAGCUAGUUGGUGAGGUAACGGCCCACCAAGGCGACGAUCGGUAGCCGGACGGAGAGGUUGAACGGCCACAUUGGGACUGAGACACGGCCCAGACUCCUACGGGAGGCAGCAGUGGGGAAUAUUGCACAAUGGGGGAAACCCUGAUGCAGCGACGCCGCGUGGAGGAAGAAGGUCUUCGGAUUGUAAACUCCUGUUGUUGAGGAAGAUAAUGACGGUACUCAACAAGGAAGUGACGGCUAACUACGUG
rnacentral:rRNA from 1 species